UCUAGCUCCUGCAUACCCUUGUGUUUACCCGCUCAGUGGGCUGGUGCCACCGCCUCCCGCUGCUUCUACACUUUUUCAUUGCUCCCUCCAACACACCUGUGAACCUGCUCUCCUUUGAUGCCCAUGGGGGCUUUGCUGUGAUCACUCCCGGUGCUCUUAUCUGCUGCUCAAUAUGUUUUUACAAGGAGUGAUAAGACACACAGCACUGGUGCCAAAACGGUGGAGGGGCAUCUCAUACACACUCUGGAGACCCCCCCCCCAGAUGAUGCAUCAGGAGACACCAGGGGUUUUAUUGUGGCAGCAUAUUCAAGUCCAG
rnacentral:lncRNA from 1 species